rnacentral:rRNA from 1 species
UACCUACUGUUGCUUCGGCGGGAUUGCCCCGGGCGCCUCGUGUGCCCCGGAUCAGGCGCCCGCCUAGGAAACUUAACUCUUGUUUUAUUUUGGAAUCUUCUGAGUAGUUUUUACAAAUAAAUAAAAACUUUCAACAACGGAUCUCUUGGUUCUGGCAUCGAUGAAGAACGCAGCGAAAUGCGAUAAGUAAUGUGAAUUGCAGAAUUCAGUGAAUCAUCGAAUCUUUGAACGCACAUUGCGCCCGCCAGUAUUCUGGCGGGCAUGCCUGUCUGAGCGUCAUUUCAACCCUCAUGCCCCUAGGGCGUGGUGUUGGGGAUCGGCCAAAGCCCGCGAGGGACGGCCGGCCCCUAAAUCUAGUGGCGGACCCGUCGUGGCCUCCUCUGCGAAGUAGUGAUAUUCCGCAUCGGAGAGCGACGAGCCCCUGCCGUUAAACCCCCAACUUUCCAAGGUUGACCUCAGAUCAGGUAGGAAUACCCGCUGAACUUAAGCAUAUCU